CUCCCCUCCUAAAACAGUAACGCGGGGUCGUUACAAUAUGAAUACGGUUUGGCAAGCUAACAAAAUCAACUAAAUGUACUGUUUGAUAAUAAUAAAGUCAGACAAAAGGAAACUGGUGGGUUGUACUGCAUUAAAAGGGGAAAGAAAAAAAAACACAAUGCGGCGCGCGCAGAGUGGCGGGACGGCACGGCACGCACUGUAGAAACAGGAAAUAGCUCCGGUUAAAAGGCGCCUGACAGAGCAACACUCGGCGGAGCGAUCGAGUCCGGCGGGUGAUCUGAGGUUUCUACACAUGAACAGAGCCCGUUUAUUAUCCUAACAUUCAUGUUUUAGCCAAAGGAAAGCAAACGCGAGCACAGCUGAGUUGUUUGGAGCGUGCGCGCGGAAAGUCUUGACACUGAGUUUCCCGUCGCCUCUCCCGCGAGCCAUAUUUCCUGCGGUCUGACUGUCAGCGGUGUCACAUGCCUGUGGCGCGCGCUGCUCGCAUACGAAAGACGUGCAGGUAAGGAACAGCGUCACCCUGCAGACUGCGGUUAGAAGCGCACCUUCCUUCCCGCGUGACACGUGGGCGCUAUGGGGAUCGAGCGGAUCUGGGCUCUGGGACUUCUGCUGGCGCUCGUGCCAUGGCUGUGCCAGUGCAUAUCGGUUACUUUCCAGCAUAUCCAGCAACCCCUCCAUGUGAUUCUGAAUGAGACCAUGGUUCUGGAAGCCCACAUUCAGAGCCCUAAGGAGCAAAUUGCUCAUGUGACCUGGGAAAUACGGGCAGAGAGCAGCACUGGCUUGAGGAAGGUUACAGUGGCAGAGUUCCCAGGCUCCAACAUCAAUUCCCGGAUAACUACGGGCAAUAAUGGGGCCACACUGAGGGUGCUGGGCUUCCGCAGGGAAGACUGCGGGAUUUACACGUUAACCGUGACCAGCCAGUCCCGCACUUCUGCGUCUGCAGACUGCAUUGUGCAGGAAUACAAGGCUGUGCAUCAUGUCACCGUGUCCAUCAACGUGUCCCACACCAGUCUGCUGUGUCAGGAAGCCUGGGGCACUGACCCCAAAUUUAAAUGGCUGCAUGAGAGAACCCAGAUGAAUGAGGAGGUGGGAAAGCCAUCUGUCGAUGGUCACGUGCUGUACCUGUCCUCGGAACCCUGCGGACACUUUACCUGUAUCGUCAGCAACCGCCUGGGACAGAGUUCUGCCACAUACACUGCGGAGCCCUGUGCGAAGCAGAGCAAUAGCACUGCUGUGGUGGUGGUGGCCUUCCUGGUCAUUCAGCUCAGCUGUGGCGCUGCCCUGGCAUUCAUCAUGUGGAGGAGACGAAGAAGAUACUUGAACAGAAGGGAGCGGCUAACUGAGUCGUAUGAGGUUCAGUUCUGAAGAACCACACUGGACAGAAAGCUGACUGAGGGCCCAUCCCUUCCUCUCGCUGUCUGAACUUCCACUGCCUGUUGGGGACACUGCGCUGCAGGAACUGCAGGAAAUGAACGCCAUCCAUUGGGAGGGGUUUCCUCCUGUGUGCACCCCUUUGACCUCCUGCUGAGCUUUGGAACAGUGGGGGGAGCUGACUGCUUGACAGCAGUUUGAAGCUUGAUAGUAGAGGAGAUCUGUUUUUGUUUUGAAUUUCAGCUUCAGUCUUCUGUUAUGAUAAUGAUUAAAUUGAUAAACAAUUGUCUGUAAAAUUCUAUGGAAUGAUUUUUGUAAUGACCUUUUACAUAGAAAAAUAAAUUAAAGGAAUUUUUAUGCUUUUUUUAAAAA
rnacentral:lncRNA from 1 species